UACAGAGGGUGCAAGCGUUAAUCGGAAUUACUGGGCGUAAAGCGCGCGUAGGCGGCUGCUUAAGUCGGAUGUGAAAUCCCCGGGCUUAACCUGGGAACUGCAUUCGAUACUGAGCAGCUAGAGUAUGAGAGAGGGAGGUAGAGUUCCACGUGUAGCGGUGAAAUGCGUAGAUAUGUGGAGGAAUACCGGUGGCGAAGGCGGCCUCCUGGCUUAAUACUGACGCUGAGGUGCGAAAGCGUGGGGAGCAAACAGG
rnacentral:rRNA from 1 species